rnacentral:rRNA from 1 species
UCGAGAAUCUUCCGCAAUGGACGAAAGUCUGACGGAGCGACGCCGCGUGGUGGAUGAAGUCCCUCGGGACGUAAACACCUUUUAUGAGGGAGGAAGUUUAUUGACGUUACCUCAUGAAUAAGGGGCUCCCAACUCUGUGCCAGCAGGAGCGGUAAUACAGAGGCCCCAAGCAUUAUCCGGAUUUACUGGGCGUAAAGGGUGCGUAGGCGGUUAUAUUAGUCGGGUGUUAAAUCCCGGGGCUCAACCCCGGAAUCGCAUCCGAAACGGUAUAACUAGAAUAAGUCAGAGGCAAGCAGAACUCUCGGUGUAGGGGUGAAAUCCGUUGAUAUCGAGGGGAAUACCAAAUGCGAAGGCAGCUUGCUGGGACUCUAUUGACGCUGAGGCACGAAAGCGUGGGUAG